UAAUUCUUAUAAGCUUAUAAGCUAACUUCACUUUAUUCACAGGAAUAAUUACCUAAAUACCUCUCAAAAUUUUAAAAAUAUCUCAUUAAUCCUUUUUUUUUUCUAAAAUAUCCCUCAUAUGUUCCUCCGUUAUUUCAAAAUACCCCUACAGUUUACCACCUGUUAAAUUAAUUUGGGUUAAACUUGAGUUAAAUAUCUACCAAAAAUUAAAAAAAAAAAAUCUCUUUUGUUCUUAACUUAAGGACAAAUAAGAAAUAUUGGUGAUGAUAGAAAGGUAUAUUUAAAAAGAUCAAAAAUCAAAAUACUUUUUGUGUCCCUAACCUAAGAGCAAAUAAAAAAAGUCGGUCAUAGUAGAAAGGUAUAUUUGAAAGAGCAAAAUAAUAAUUUCAUAUAAAUAACAGUUAUUGUUAAUAGUUAAUUAACAAAAUUUAACGUUAGGGGUAUAUUUGGAAUAGGUAGAAUAUAAAAAGGGUAUUUUCAAUAUUAACCUUUUAAGAAUAGUAAAUCAGAAAGUUAAAAUUUUUUUGGGGAUAUAUAAGCAAUUGCCGUUUAUUUGUAUAUACUUAAUUAAUUGG
rnacentral:lncRNA from 1 species